rnacentral:rRNA from 1 species
UACGGGGGGGGCAAGCGUUGUUCGGAAUUACUGGGCGUAAAGGGCGCGUAGGCGGCCCAAUCAGUCGGGCGUGAAAGCUCUGGGCUUAACCCAGAAAGGUCGUUCGAUACUGUUGGGCUAGAGUGUGGAAGAGGCUACUGGAAUUCCGUGUGUAGCGGUGAAAUGCGUAGAUAUCGUAAGGAAGACCAGUGGCGAAGGCGGGUCUCUGGACAGUUCCUGACGCUGAGGCACGAAGGUCAGGGGAGCAAACGGG